rnacentral:tRNA from 1 species
GGAAGAAUUGUGGCUUGGUGCUAGAGCAUCUGCUUUGCAUGCAGAAAGCCCCAGAUCCAAUUCCUAGCAUCUCCA